AAGAUUUGGUAGCAAUACUGAAUCCUAGAGUGGCGCACGGGUGAGUAACGCGUACAUGACAUACCUAUAAGCGAGGGAUAGCAUUGGGAAACUGGUAGUAACCCCUCAUGUGAUUAUUUGUAAUAAAGGUAAAUAAUUAAAACUACGGUGCUUAUAGAUUGGUGUGCGUCUGAUUAGCUAGUUGGCGAGGUAUCGGCUCACCAAGGCGACGAUCAGUAGGGGGCGUGAGAGCGUGAACCCCCACACGGGUACUGAGACACGGACCCGACUCCUACGGGAGGCAGCAGUAAGGAAUAUUGGUCAAUGGAGGGAACUCUGAACCAGCCAUGCCGCGUGCAGGAUGAAAGCCCUCUGGGUUGUAAACUGCUUUUAACAGGGAAGAAAAUGCUAUACGUGAUAUAGUACUGACGGUACCUGAGGAAUAAGCACCGGCUAACUCCGUGCCAGCAGCCGCGGUAAUACUGAGGGUGCAAGCGUUAUCCGGAAUCACUGGGUUUAAAGGUGCGUAGGCGGUUUAUAAGUCAGUGGUAAAAGGUUGUAGCUCAACUAUAAGAGGUCCAUUGAUACUGU
rnacentral:rRNA from 1 species